CUCUCUCUCUCUUUCUUGCUUCUUGUUUCUUUUUCCUUUAUCCUUUUCUCCUUCGUGCUCACGUAACAACCCCCUGUCCUGACUCUUCCAUCCGCUUCUGGAAUGUCGUCAAACGUUUCCAGACACUCCCCCGAGUCCUUCCUCCUCCUUUCUGCUUCUUCUAUGUGAGACGAGAAUUACGUCACAGUUUAUGCAGCUCGACGAAAACCACCAGGAAGUCAACAUGGCGACAUCAGAAACUCUUCUCUCGGGACUUCUAGGAUUAGUCCUUUUGAGACGAGAUAACACCAAAAAAGAAGGAAAAUCCUUGUCGACGAAAAAUCUGUCACGUUACGAAAAAGAAGUAGAAAAGCUAGAAAAGAAGAAAAGGAUAGAGAAAAAGAGAGAAACAGAGAUAUCAGGCGAUCCUCGAACGAAAAGAUCUAAUGACUGGGAAUCCUCUUUAUGGUUUACAAGAAGUUUGACCCCUCGUGUUUCGUCGUGAAGGGAAGAAGAAAGGACUAAAGGACUACCUCCGCUUCGACACUGGUGUCCUUGCUUCUGUUCUCUCGAAGGAUGGAAGCUGGCGUUUCUCGGUUCACUAAAUCGUGACAAACCUUUCAAAUAAUAUCGAAUUAAAAGAAAUGCAUAGCUAGUUGUCGAGGAAGAGAGCACAAAGUAUUCCUUCACGGUUAUUAGAUUUUAUUCCUUGAUUGUUUAGACGAUGUAAAGAAUUAAAGAAACAAUGAGAGCAAAGUAAGUAAGUACUAGUUUUUGAUCUUUCGUUGUGAUACUUUGUGUAGGUAUACGUAGAUACACGUAUCUUCCAUUUCCAUCAGACAUAAUUGCAUGUCUGAAAACGGAUCCGUAGCUAGGCAGAGGGUGGUCGGGCAGGCAGGUAACAGGUAGGCAUCAUACAGUCGAGCAGGAUGUAUAACGUAACUUGAUAGCUAAUUAUCUGCCGACGUUGCGCAGGAGCAUAGAAAGGUUAGAGAACAUACAAGUGUUUCUUCGUAUUAGCUUAAUAUUUUCUCAGAGUCCUUUUCCUAGUUUCCAUGAUGCAUUGCAUUUCGUCCUCGAACUUUUGCUUAGGGAACUUCUCCGUCUGUUGGAAUCAUUCAAUAGAGUAUAUGUACUUAUAGGAGAACCUUAGCGACUUAGUUUUAGCUCAUGUUUCCCAUAAAGUAUCUUCUCGUAAAUAAAUAUCAUUAAUUCGUCUAUUGCUAAUUUCUUGAAAGAUAGUAACGAUUUUAAUUAUUACGAACACAUAAUACUUUUUGGUUAUACAUUUUUGAAUGAUCACAUUUCGUCGAAUGAAAAAAUGUAUGAAGGAAAUAGCCCGAAGUCUUAAGGUCUUCGGAAUGUCGUUCUCGUUCUCAAAGGAAUUCGAAAAGUCGGAAGUUUGUGGAACGUUCGCGAGAAACUUUUUUUUUUCUUUCCUCCUAGUGAUCUUUUUCUCUCUUCGUUUUAGGCGCUUUAUCGUACCCACGUCCGAUAUUCCGUCGAUGGAAUCUACCACCCUGAGGAACGCUGAGUGUGAAAAGUUAAAAUCGCAUCAGAGAGCCAUUAUUGUACCGUCGGUGACACUCGCCACCCCACAAAAGUUAAACAAUUUGUGAGGCCUUACGUCGGCGAUGUCAUGCUUUCUCUCUCCUUCUCCCUUUUCUCUCCCAUUUCUCUCUCUCUCUCUCUCUUUCACUCUCUCUCUCUCUUUCACUCUCUCUCUCUCUCUCUCUCUCU